rnacentral:rRNA from 1 species
CCUACGGGGAGCAGCAGUGAGGAAUAUUGGUCAAUGGACGAGAGUCUGAACCAGCCAAGUAGCGUGAAGGAUGACUGCCCUAUGGGUUGUAAACUUCUUUUAUAUGGGAAUAAAAUGUUCCACGUGUGGGAUUUUGUAUGUACCAUAUGAAUAAGGAUCGGCUAACUCCGUUCCAGCAGCCGCGUUAAUACGGAGGAUCCGAGCGUUAUCCGGAUUUCUUGGGUUUAAAGGGAGCGUAGGUGGAUUGUUAAGGCAGUUGUGAAAGUUUGCGGCUCAACCGUAAAAUUGCAGUUGAAACUGGCAGUCUUGAGUAGAGGAGAGGUGGGCGGAAUGCGUGGUGUAGCGGUGAAAUGCUUAGAUAUCACGAAGAACUCCGAUUGCGAAGGCAGUUCACUGGACUGCAACUGACACUGAGGCACGAAAGUGUGGGUAUCAAACAGGAUUAGAUACCCUGGUAGUC